CCUGGGGGGGGCUAGUGGUUAGACCUCGAUGCUCCCACCCCCGUGGCCCAGGUUCGAUUCCCGGCCACGGCA